rnacentral:snoRNA from 1 species
AAGACCUUACUUCUACAGGAUCAUUUCUGCAGUAAGAGGUCGAUUGCAAAUAAUGUCAAAUUUUGCGAAAAUAGAAACCAUGAUGAGGAAUCAUAGUGUUCUUCCUUGAGCGUGAGAAAGGUUGUUUGAAUCUCUUGUAGAUUCGAACAGUCAUCGAUGAUCGCUGGUACUUUCGUUAGCAGAUGUUCUUGGGAAGAACACCUUCUGAGUGGU